AGAAGUCACAAUACGACGUGAAUCUUUUUUUGACUGGUUAAAACCACAUGAUGUGAAGUCAGUUCAUCAGAGCUUUAUUGCUGCCAGCUGAGGGCAGAAAUGUCACUGAUGAACUGCUUGGACUGGUGAAACCAAAACAACGAGCUGAAAAAUGCUUUUAUCACCUGACUGCUGUAUGGGGAGUUGGAGGCAAUGGGGGUGGAGCCACACGCAAAAAGGAUGCCAAACCAGUGACAGCAGUUCAAGACUGUGGAAGUCGAAGACAUUUCCAGCCAUGAGUUGACAGUGAUGCACCUUGAUCCUGGCUGCCAACUAAAUGGAGAGAAGAAGAAGAAGGGAACACAGUAACCAGCCAGCUACGACAACGAGAGUGAGACAUUCCACCCAUAGUGCGGCUACUUAUCGCAAUAAUAUCAUUAUUAUAAUUUUUUUGGGCCACGAUGAUCUGAUUCAAUGACAGCCCUUGUUGGAUUUGACUAUUUAUUUCCAUUAUCAUUCAAAUAUUCUUUCUUUU